rnacentral:lncRNA from 1 species
GCACACCUGGCAGGUCUUGAGUUGACCAUGCAAAGAUAUCCCGAUUCUCACGGAGGAAGCUGCUGAGCUCGCCUUCCUAUUUCUCCUCCAGGCCGGCACCAAUGAUGACGGUGUGGUCCGGGAAUUCGCUGUCAACCUGUAUCUUCUUUGUCUCGUUGGCUGCCUGAAAGGCCACACUUCCAUGGGGAUUGGUCAUAGCCGGCAGGCCAACUUGUGCCGCCUGUGCCAUCGCAACAGCUUCUUGUAAUUUCUUCUUUUCGCCAGCGAUGACCAGCGACUUGGCCAAAGCAGACCCGGUCGUCGCACAUUCCAUUGAGCGUUUGUAGUUGCCAGUGAUAGUUAUGGUACCAUUUGGUCCCGGCAUCUUCAUCUUCAGAUAACCAAUGUGAGUAGGAGCCAUGAACUUGGCGAGUGCCGGCCUACCAAGCAGUGCAUGGUACGGACCGCUAAGGUCCACAACCUCGAACACUAGAUUUUCGGUCUGACAGUUCUCCCUGGUGCCGAAUAAGACGUCCACUCGGAUCUUGCCUACCGGGGCACAAGACACUCCUGGCACUAUACCAUGAAAGGUAGUCCGGCUGGGCUCAAGCAUGUUAUCUAUAAUGCCGAGCUUAAGCAUCGUGUCCCGGUACAGGAUAUUGAUGCUGCUCCCAUUAUCAAUGAGAACCUGAGUGAACUUGACGUUAAUGUCGGGCCCAAUGAGCGUCGGGUCGACCACUAGAGCAUAUCCACCGGGUUUGGGCAUAACCUUGGGAUGGCCUGUCCGGUUCCAGUUGAUCUCCUGCUCCGACCAAUACAUGAACUUCGGAACUGCCGGCAUAACAGCAUUGACCUCCAUCUCUCGCCUGCGCUGACUUGACUUGUCGGUGGGCUCAGUGAUGAAAAUCAUGUAGCUCUGGUGAUGCUCCUUGUACUCGUUUCUCCCGGCAUACCCUGGGAUUUCUUGUCACUCCACCUGGUUGACUGCAUUGUUUGCCUGAGGGGGUCCUUGGAUCUGUGCGUUUGCACCUGUGAGGGGUGGAGGUGGGGUUAAUCGGCUUGCCUUGCCGUUCUCGGCCCGUUGCAUCCAGCUGCAUUGUCGCGUGGUGUGGUUCGCCGGCUUGUUGGGGUUAGUCAUGUGAAAACGAAAAGGCUGAUCCAACAUCACCUCGAAAGUAUACUUUGGCUUAUCUUGCCAGGGCUUCUUUUGUUCUCCCUUCUUGACCCACUGCUGAUUUCCUGUUUUCUGACGCGGGCUAGGGCCGGCGUCAGGCUGGUCCUGAACUGCAGCGACAUGGGCUGGCCCAUACUGGUAAUCCGGCCUGUCAUCCCUUCUGUUGUUGCGAUGAUCUUGAUGGUUGUUCCUCCGGAAUGCCCCAGCAGGAUUGUAUGUCGGCUGCUCCCUUUGUGGUUCUGCCGACAUCAGUGAUGGCUGAGUCGGAUCGCCAAGCGCGUACAUGUCGGCGAUCCUGAUCAUUUCAGAUAGAGUGGUCGGCAUCUCUCUUUGCAGCUUCUGCCACAGCAUGCUGUCAUGCCGACAUCCCUAGGCAAACCACGCUAUGGCUUGCGAUUCCACUAUCCCUUCACAGGAAUUACGGAGAUUGUUCCAUCUUGUCAAGUAAUCCCGGUCAGUUUCGCUGCCUCUUUGCUUACACAUGGACAACUGUUGAGGACGAUUCAGCCUCUUGUAGGUGCUAGUGAAAUUGCUGACAAAUGCUUUCUCAAAGUCUAUCCAGCAAUUGAUGCUGCUUUCCGGCAAAUUGUUCAACCAAAUCUUUGCUGGCCCCACGAGCAUCUGGGGUACAUAACGUACUGCCCAUCUGCGAUUGCCACCUGCCACGCUUACUACCGUGACAUAGUUUUUCAGCCAAUCUUCCAGCUUAGUAUUGCCGUCAUACGUUCUUGUACCCCUGGGCAGCUGAAAACCCGGGGCUGGUUUCUCCCUCAUGAUCCGAUGCGCGAAGCAACACGGUCCCGGAGGGCCUUGUUGGAAAUAUGCCCUAGAGGCAAUAAUAAAUUUGUUAUUAUCAUAUUUCAUUGUUCUUGAUAAAUGUUUAUUGCCCAUGCUAUAAUUGUAUUGAUUGGAAACUCAAAUACAUGUGUGGAUAAAUAAACAAAUACCGUGUCCCUAAUACGCCUCUACUAGAUUAGCUCGUUGAUUAAAGAUGGUUAAGGUUUCCUAACCAUAGACAUGUGUUGUCAUUUAAUAACGAGGUCAUAUCAUUAGGAGAAUGAUGUGAUGGACAGACCCAAACCUAAACAUAGCUUUUGAUCGUGUCACUUAAGUUUAAGUUGCUUAUGUUUUAUUAUGUCAAGUAUUAUUUCUUUAGACCAUGAGAUCAUGCCACUCCCUAGUACCGGAAGAAUACUUUGUGGGCAUCAACCGUCAUCUCGUAACUGGGUGAUCAUAAAGGUGUUUUUCAGGUAUCCCAGAAGGUGCUUGUUAGGUUGUAUGGAUCAAGACUGGGAUUUGUCACUCCUUGUGACGGAGAGAUAUCUCUGGGCCCUCUCGGUAAUAUAACAUCCUAAUGAGUUUGCAAGCAUGUGACUAAUGUGUUUAGUUGCGGGGGUAUUAUAUUACGGAACGAGUAAAGAGAACUUGCCGGUAACGAGAUUAAACUAGGUAUGGCGAUACCGACGAUCAAAUCUCGGGCAAGUAAUAUAUCGCGAGACAAAGAGAAUUGGAUACUGGAUUAAUUGAAUCCUCGACAUAGUGGUUCAACCGAUGAGAUCUUCGUGGAAUAUGUGGGAACUAUUAUGGACAUCCAGGUCCCGCUAUUGGUUAUUGAUAUUUGAUCAUGUCCACAUGUUCUCGAACCCGUAGGGUCACACACUUAACGUUUCAUGUUGCUUGGGUUAGAUGAGAUAAAUGAUGAUGAUAUCGAAUUAUGAUUCGGAGUCUUGGAUGGGAUCCUAGACGCAACGAGGAGCUCCGGAAUGUUCCGGAGAUAAAGAUUUAUAUAUGGAAAGUUGUUUUCAGGGUUCUGGAAAGUUUGGAAUAUUUCCCGGUUUUGACCGGGAAGCUUCUAGAAGGUUCCGGAGGGAUCCGGAGGGUUCCACCUUGAGGCCCACCUAUCCCUGGGCUAAAUGGGCCUGUGAGGGAGCACCCUGGCCUUAAUGGGCCGAGGGGCUAGCCCACAGGGCCCAUGCGGCCAGGAGGAGAGUCCUGGCCGCGGGAGAGUCCUGGCCGCAUGAGAGUCCUGGCCGCGGGAUAGUCCUGGCCGGCCACGCCUCCUCUACCCCUAUAUAAAUAGAAGGGGGGGGGCAAGGGAGAGAGACACCCCAAGCUUUCAAUUGGAUCUCUCUCCCCUGAGCCCUCCUCUCCUCCUCUUCUCACGCGCACGGCGUAGCCCUGCCCGUGAGAAUAUUCACCAUAGUCACCACGCCGUCGUGCUGCCGGGAUCUCGUCUACCUCUCCCUCUCGCUUGCUGGAUCGAGGAAGGAGGAGAUAACGUGAAGCUGAACGUGUGGAUACCAAGGAGGUGCUGUCCGUUCGGCACUGAGAUUGAUCUCAUUGAAAGUUCCACUACACCAACAACGAUCUCGUGAUCGUAACGCUUAGCGGUCUACGAGGGUAUGGUGUUCAUGAUCCCUCUCGUUACAUACAUCUAGUAUAUAUAUUCUUGGGUUUCUUCCGCACUUCUCGUAGGAAAAUUUUUGUUUCCUAUGCAACGAACCUAACAGUGGUAUCAGAGCUAGAUCUAUGCGUAGAUGUUUUGUACGAGUAGAACACAAUUUAGUUGUGGGCGUUGAUGUUCAUAUUGCUACCUCCUUUGUGCACUAUCGGAUUUUGCGGGAUAGUGGGAUGAAGCGGCUCGGACCAACCUUACUUGUCUUCGCACAAGAGACCGGUUCCGCAAUUAACAUGCAACUUGUAUUGCAUAAGGCGGCUGGCGGGUGUCUGUCUCUCCCACUAUAGUUGAAAUCUGAUUUGCAAUGGGAGGCCUAUAUGGUUAAUAAGCAAUUUGUAUAUCACCGUUGUGGCUUUUGCGUAAGUAAGAACGGUUCUUUUAGUGCAGCCCCUAAAGCCACGUAAAACAUGCAACAACAAAGUAGAAGCGUCUAACUUGUUUUUGCAGGGGCAUGUGAUGUGGUAUGGCCAAGAUAUGAUAUAAUAUAUUUGAUGUAUGAGAUGAUCAUGUUUUGUAAUAUUUCACGACUUGCAUGUCGAUGAGUUUGGCAACCGGCAGGAGCCGUAUGGUUGUCUCAUUAAUUAUUGUAUGACCUUCGUGUCAAUGAUUUGAUCGCCAUGUAAUUGCUUUACUUUAUCGCUAGUAGUAGCAAUAGUCGUAGUAGCAAUAGUUGGUGGAGGCAACUAUACAUGACGCCCGAGGACCUAGGCGCCAUGCUGGUGAUGAUGGAGAUCAUGCCCGUGCUUUGGAGAUGAAGAUCAAAGGCACACGAAGAGAAGGCCAUAUCAUGUCACAUUAUUUAUGCAUGUGAUGUUUAUCCCUUUUAUGCAUCUUAUUUUGCUUAGUUGACGGUAGCAUUAUAAGAUGAUCUCUCAUUGUUAAUAUCAAGAUAAUAAUGUGUUCUCCCUUAGUAUGCACCGUUGCAAAAGUUCGUCGUUUUGAAGCACCACGUGAUGAUCGGGUGUUAUAAACUCUACGUUCGCAUACAACGGGUGUAAGCCAGUUUUACACAUGCAGGAAUACUUUGGUUAACUUGACGAGCCUAGCAUGUACAGACAUGGCCUCGGAACACAAGGAACCGAAAGGUUAAACAUGAGUCAUAUGAAUGAUGUGAUCAACAUGCUGAUGUUUACCAUUGAAGCUACUCCAUCUCACGUGAUGAUCGGACUUGGUGUAGUGGAUUUGGAUCAUGUGUCACUAAACAACCCGAGGGAUGUUGAUUUUAGUGGGAGUUCAUUAGUAAUUUGAUUAGCUUGAACUUAUUAUCAUGAACUUAGUCUAAUUGCCUUUGCAAAUAUACUGUAGAUCAAUGGCUCGUACUACGUUCAAUAUGAAUACUCUCCUAGAGAAAGAUAAACUGAAGUCCAAUGGAAGCAACUUUACGGACUGGUUCUGGAAUGUGAGGAUUAUCCUCGAAGCUGCCAAAAAGGCUUAUGUUUUUGAUGCAGCGCUUGGUGCAGAACCCGCAGCAACUGAGUCUGCUGACGUUAGGAACGUUUGGCUGACUCAAUCUGAGGACCACAAUGUAGUUAGGUGCGGCCUCUUGCUUGGUAUGGAACCUGAGCUCCAAAAGCGUUUUGAGCACCACUCGGCAUAUGCUAUGAUUGGGGAACUGAAUACUUUAUUUCAGACCCAAGCCCGUGCGGAGAGGUAUGAUGCCUCCGAAAGGUUCUUUAACUGCAAGAUGGAGGAGAACAGCUCCGUUAGCGAGCACGUGCUCAGAAUGUCUGGGUACGCCGACCGCCUGAGACAACUGGGAAUUGAGAUUCCUAAUGAAUUAGGCAUUGACCGGGUUCUUCAGUCACUACCACCUAGCUAUAAAAGUUUUGUGGUGAACUACAAUAUGCAAGGGAUGGAUAGGACACUUCCUCAGCUCCUCGCGAUGUUAAAAACUGCGGAGGUGGAAAUCAAAAAGGAGCAUCAAGUGUUGAUGGUCAAUAAGACCACCAGUUUCAAGAAGGCAAAGGGUAAGAAGGGAAAUUUCAAGAAGGGUGGCCAAACUGUUGCCACUCCCGCGAAGAAGCCCAAAUCUGGACCUAAGCCGGAUACUGAGUGCUUCUACUGCAAGGGAACUGGCCACUGGAAGCGUAACUGCCCCAAGUACUUGGCAGAUAAGAAGGCUGGCAACGUCAAAGGUAUAUUUGAUAUACAUGUUAUUGAUGUGUACCUUACUAGUACUCGUAGUAGCACCUGGGUAUUUGAUACUGGUUCAGUUGCUCACAUUUGUAACUCGAAACAGGAGCUACAGAAUAAACGAAGACUAGCAAGAGAUGAGGUGACUAUGCGCGUCGGGAAUGGAUCAAAAGUUGAUGUGAUCGCCGUCGGCACGCUCCCUCUACAUUUAUCUUCGGGAUUAGUUUUAAACCUUAGUAAUUGUUAUUUGGUGCCUGCGUUGAGCAUGAACAUUAUAUCAGGAUCUUGUUUAAUGCAAGACGGUUAUUCAUUUAAAUCAGAGAAUAAUGGUUGUUCGAUUUAUAUGAGUAAUAUCUUUUAUGGUCAUGCACCACUUGUGAAUGGUUUAUUUCUAUUAAGUCUCGAUAGUAGUGACACACAUAUUCAUAAUGUUAAUGCCAAAAGGUGCAAAGUGGAUAAUGAUAGUUCAACAUAUUUGUGGCACUGCCGUCUAGGUCAUAUUGGUAUAAAACGCAUGAAGAAACUCCAUUCUGAUGGACUACUUGAAUCACUUGAUUUUGAAUCAUUUGAUACAUGUGAACCAUGCCUCAUGGGUAAGAUGACUAGAACCCCGUUUUCAGGCUUAAUGGAACGGGCCAGUGACUUGUUGGAGAUCAUACAUACUGAUGUGUGCGGACCAAUGAGUGUUACAACGUGCGGUGGAUAUCGUUACUUCCUAACCUUCACAGAUGACUUGAGUAGAUAUGGGUAUAUUUACUUAAUGAAAAACAAGUCUGAGACAUUUGAGAAAUUCAAGGAAUUUCAGAAUGAAGUGGAGAAUCAUCGUAACAAGAAAAUUAAAUUUCUACGAUCGGAUCGUGGAGGUGAAUAUUUGAGUUACGAGUUUGGCACGCAUUUAAGACAAUGUGGAAUUGUUUCACAACUUACGCCGCCUGGAACACCACAACGCAAUGGUGUGUCCGAACGUCGUAAUCGUACUUUAUUGGAUAUGGUACGGUCUAUGAUGUCUCUUACUGAUUUGCCACUGUCGUUUUGGGGUUAUGCAUUAGAGACAGCCGCAUUCACUUUAAAUAGGGCACCAUCUAAAUCCGUUGAAACGACACCGUAUGAAUUAUGAUUUGGCAAGAAACCUAAGCUGUCCUUUCUUAAAGUUUGGGGAUGCGAAGCUUAUGUAAAAAGGCUACAACCUGAUAAGCUCGAACCCAAGUCGGAAAAAUGCGUCUUCAUAGGAUACCCUAAAGAAACAAUUGGGUACACCUUCUAUCACAGAUCCGAAGGAAAAGUGUUUGUCGCUAAGAACGGGUCCUUUCUAGAGAAGGAGUUUCUCUCGAAAGAAGUGAGUGGGAGGAAGGUAGAGCUCGAUGAGGUUAUUGAACCUUCUCUCGAAUUUGAGUGUAGCGCAGCACCAGAAACUGUUCCCGUGCAUCCUGCAUCAGCUAGAGAGGAAGCUAAUGAUAAUGAUCAUGAAGUUUUGAAUGAGACAACUACUGAACUUCGCAGGUCGACGAGAACACGUAAUACUCCUGAGUGGUACAAUGUUCGUGUCAUGAAUGUCAUGUUGUUGGACAACGAUGAACCUGCGAAUUAUGAGGAAGCGAUGAUGAGCCCAGACUCCGAAAAAUGGUUAGAAGCCAUGAAAUCCGAAAUGGGAUCCAUGUAUGAAAACCAAGUAUGGACUUUGGUAGACUUACCGAAUGACCGAAAGGCCGUUGAGAACAAAUGGAUUUUCAAGAAGAAAACAGAUGCUGAUGGAAAUGUUACCGUCUAUAAAGCUCGACUUGUCGCAAAAGGUUUUCGACAAAUUCAAGGAGUUGACUACGAUGAGACUUUCUCACCCGUAGCGAUGCUAAAGUCUGUUCGGAUUAUGUUAGCAAUUGCUGCAUUUUUCGAUUACGAAAUUUGGCAGAUGGAUGUCAAAACCGCGUUCCUUAAUGGUCACAUUGAGGAAGAGUUAUACAUGGUUCAGCCCAAAGGUUUUGUCGAUCCUAAGGAUGCUAAUAAGGUAUGCAAACUUCAGCGUUCCAUUUAUGGGCUGAAGCAAGCAUCUCGGAGUUGGAAUCUCCGUUUUGAUAAGGUGAUCAAAGGGUUUGGAUUUGUCCAAACUCACGGAGAAGCUUGUAUUUACAAGAAAGUGAGUGGGAGCUCUGUAGCAUUUCUAAUACUGUAUGUGGAUGACAUAUUGCUGAUUGGGAAUGAUAUAGAACUUCUUAAAAGUGUUAAAGGCUAUUUGAAUAAAAGUUUUUCAAUGAAAGACCUUGGUGAAGCAGCUUACAUAUUAGGCAUCAAGAUUUAUAGAGAUAGAUCAAGACGCCUGAUAGGACUUACACAAAGUACAUACCUUGACAAAGUUUUGAAAAGGUUCAAAAUGGAUCAAGCAAAGAAAGGGUUCUUGCCCAUGUUGCAAGGUAAGACAUUGAGUAAGACUCAGUGUCCAGCUUCGGCAGAAGAUAGAGAAAAGAUGAAUAGUAUCCCCUAUGCCUCAGCCAUAGGCUCUAUUAUGUAUGCCAUGCUGUGUACUAGACCAGACGUGUGUCAUGCUGUUAGUUUGACUAGCAGGUACCAAAGUGAUCCAGGAGUGGAACACUGGACAGCAGUUAAGAAUAUCCUUAAGUACCUAAAAAGGACUAAAGAAAUGUUUCUCGUUUAUGGAGGUGACGAACAGCUCGUCGUAAAGGGUUACGUCGAUGCUAGUUUUGACACUGAUCCGGAUGACUCUGAGUCUCAAUCCGGAUACGUAUUUAUUUUGAAUGGUGGUGCAGUUAGCUGGAGGAGUUCCAAGCAGAGCGUUGUGGCAGCAUCAACAACUGAAGCGGAAUAUGUGGCUGCUUCAGAAGCGGCACAGGAAGGAGUUUGGAUGAAGGAGUUCAUAUCUGAACUUGGUGUGGUUCCGAGUGCGUUGGAUCCCAUGGACAUCUAUUGUGACAACACUGGUGCCAUAGCCAACGCCAAGGAGCCGAGGUCUCACAAGAAUUCCAAGCAUAUUAAACGCCGGUUUCACACUAUUCGUGAAUAUGUCAAGGAUGGUGACAUAAAGAUUUGCAAAGUACAUACGGAUCUGAAUGUCGCAGACCCGUUGACUAAACCUCUUCCACGAGCAAAACAUGAUCAACACCAAGACUCCAUGGGUGUUAGAUUUAUUACAAUGUAAACUAGAUUAUUGACUCUAGUGCAAGUGGGAGACUGUUGGAAAUAUGCCCUAGAGGCAAUAAUAAAUUUGUUAUUAUCAUAUUUCAUUGUUCUUGAUAAAUGUUUAUUGCCCAUGCUAUAAUUGUAUUGAUUGGAAACUCAAAUACAUGUGUGGAUAAAUAAACAAAUACCGUGUCCCUAAUACGCCUCUACUAGAUUAGCUCGUUGAUUAAAGAUGGUUAAGGUUUCCUAACCAUAGACAUGUGUUGUCAUUUAAUAACGAGGUCAUAUCAUUAGGAGAAUGAUGUGAUGGACAGACCCAAACCUAAACAUAGCUUUUGAUCGUGUCACUUAAGUUUAAGUUGCUUAUGUUUUAUUAUGUCAAGUAUUAUUUCUUUAGACCAUGAGAUCAUGCCACUCCCUAGUACCGGAAGAAUACUUUGUGGGCAUCAACCGUCAUCUCGUAACUGGGUGAUCAUAAAGGUGUUUUUCAGGUAUCCCAGAAGGUGCUUGUUGGGUUGUAUGGAUCAAGACUGGGAUUUGUCACUCCUUGUGACGGAGAGAUAUCUCUGGGCCCUCUCGGUAAUAUAACAUCCUAAUGAGCUUGCAAGCAUGUGACUAAUGUGUUUAGUUGCGGGGGUAUUAUAUUACGGAACGAGUAAAGAGAACUUGCCGGUAACGAGAUUAAACUAGGUAUGGCGAUACCGACGAUCAAAUCUCGGGCAAGUAAUAUAUCGCGAGACAAAGAGAAUUGGAUACUGGAUUAAUUGAAUCCUCGACAUAGUGGUUCAACCGAUGAGAUCUUCGUGGAAUAUGUGGGAACUAUUAUGGACAUCCAGGUCCCGCUAUUGGUUAUUGAUAUUUGAUCAUGUCCACAUGUUCUCGAACCCGUAGGGUCACACACUUAACGUUUCAUGUUGCUUGGGUUAGAUGAGAUAAAUGAUGAUGAUAUCGAAUUAUGAUUCGGAGUCUUGGAUGGGAUCCUAGACGCAACGAGGAGCUCCGGAAUGUUCCGGAGAUAAAGAUUUAUAUAUGGAAAGUUGUUUUCAGGGUUCUGGAAAGUUUGGAAUAUUUCCCGGUUUUGACCGGGAAGCUUCUAGAAGGUUCCGGAGGGAUCCGGAGGGUUCCACCUUGAGGCCCACCUAUCCCUGGGCUAAAUGGGCCUGUGAGGGAGCACCCUGGCCUUAAUGGGCCGAGGGGCUAGCCCACAGGGCCCAUGCGGCCAGGAGGAGAGUCCUGGCCGCGGGAGAGUCCUGGCCGCAUGAGAGUCCUGGCCGCGGGAUAGUCCUGGCCGGCCACGCCUCCUCUACCCCUAUAUAAAUAGAAGGGGGGGGCAAGGGAGAGAGACACCCCAAGCUUUCAAUUGGAUCUCUCUCCCCUGAGCCCUCCUCUCCUCCUCUUCUCACGCGCACGGCGUAGCCCUGCCCGUGAGAAUAUUCACCAUAGUCACCACGCCGUCGUGCUGCCGGGAUCUCGUCUACCUCUCCCUCUCGCUUGCUGGAUCGAGGAAGGAGGAGAUAACGUGAAGCUGAACGUGUGGAUACCAAGGAGGUGCUGUCCGUUCGGCACUGAGAUUGAUCUCAUUGAAAGUUCCACUACACCAACAACGAUCUCGUGAUCGUAACGCUUAGCGGUCUACGAGGGUAUGGUGUUCAUGAUCCCUCUCGUUACAUACAUCUAGUAUAUAUAUUCUUGGGUUUCUUCCGCACUUCUCGUAGGAAAAUUUUUGUUUCCUAUGCAACGAACCUAACAGGCCUUGCUCCUCCAGAAGCUCGGACAGAUAAAUUCUGUCAAGCCGAUGUCGUGCAUCCAGGGGCGAUACCUGCCUGUUCCCAAUUCGGCAUCCGAGCGGACCGAGAUUGUCGCGCUCUCGCCUGAUAUAACCCUCAUCAGCCAUGGCCGAGUAUCCGUCAUCAUAACGGUCAUAACGGCGAUCUUCACCUCGAUAAAGGGGGUUGCGCCUGACACCCUGCUGUCCUGUAGCAGUGUUAGGUGCCGGACCCCGAGGUCGGUGCCCAUGGUCAUACGAGUAACGCUCCUGCUGAUCUCGGUGGUUGCCGCUGGGACGCAGACCACUUUGGCUGUCAUCAACCCUCCUGACUAUUUGUUUCUCGGCCAGGGCCGGGUCACAGCGUUCCAACUGCUUAUCCCGGCCAGAGUUAACGAUUUUGUCCCGUUUGUCCCGUUUGCCACCAGGUGAGGACGCUUGUUUGUCAACCCGGCCACCAGCGUCUGCGGCCGAAUGAAUGACCUGUGAUGCACCGGGUUUACCAUGCACUCUCAUGUAUGCCUCAUUCUGCUCAUUUGUUGUUUGUAGCAGCUCUUUUACGCGCUGCUGCUGCCGAAGUGCCUCUCCCGUAAGAUUCGGCAACUCUUCAGUCGCAGCCUCGACAGCCCUGAGAUUUUUGGCCGGGGUAUUGUACUUCGGCUUAAGUGCCGAGGCAAAACUUGCCGACACAGCUGGCACACCCCUGCCAUCUCUUGCCAUCUUGGCAUUCAAGUUUUUGCCACGGUUACGCACCUCCCCAACUCUGCAAGGGUUAGCAAAUGCAAUAGAACUGAGACCAUGAGCUUUGAUAUACUCACGGAGCGAGAUGUCGAGUUGUUGUCGGGCGUUGGCAACGUCGACGUCUUCCUUCAGCAGCUUCUGUCUCUCCAACUCUAACUCCGCCUGCAGCUGGGCCGGGUUAGCAUUCGACACCACCGGCACAGUCAGCCGCUCGAUGGAGGCCUGGAUCUGAGUUGGCUUCGGCGGCAGAGCCGAUGUGCCGGCUUGUGCGGCGAUGUUCUCCGGCUUCUCCAAAGGGAGCUUCGCCGUUCUGUCGGACUUGGUUGGGACAACUCCACUUCCUGCAGCGUCCCUUCCCGCAUCAGCGCCAUGAGCCGUCACCAUAACCUCUACACGGUCAGCGGGGCAGUCGACAUGCCGGCCGCGAGCCGUGCAGAUGGCGGGGGGAUCUUCAGCCAUCACCACCUGCUCUGGGUACCUGUAAGGGCUGUCAGUAGCAACAUAGACCUCGUGCAUGCCGAAACUGAUGAAGCGGCCUGCACAGGGAAGCGGUGUGCCGUUGAAGCAGCCCACGUUGUUGUUGAUGAAGCCCAGAGAGCCGAAUCUCUAGACCAAACCGGAGACCACGCGUUCUCCGGUGACGAGGAAGCAUCCCGUCCGGAUGAAAACUCCAGCCAGCGCCGCUGCUGGCCCCACGGUGGGCGCCAACUGUCGUGGUGGUGUCACGGCAGAUGCCAUAGGAUGGCUUAACUUGGGGCCGAUGGACGAAGGAGGAUCCGGAGGAGGGAGGACGCGAAGGGAAACACGCACCAAACACACAAGCACACACAAAUUUACCCAGGUUCGGAGCCCUCUAGUCGAGGUAAGACUCCGACUCCUGCUUUGUUGUUUUAGCCGAGAUAGGCAAGCUCUACAAUGGAGCUCCUUGAGCUAUAUUCUUGAGGGGGAAGAAAAAGAAGGGGAAACUCUAGAAUGUCCAAGUGCUCGAUGCCCUCUCGAGGGAGGUGAAGUGCGCUAUUUAUGGGCCAGACAUGUCACACAUGCAUGCCGAGUCUAACGUCACUUUUCUUGGGUCCCGCCGGGCACGCGGCUUGGUUCCCUCCAGGCAGUAGCACCGGGGACAAGACAACUUUACUUUUCCCUGCCAGUCUGCAACGGGUACAGCUAUCCUCUGCCGGCUUCCGUCAUAUAUUCCCUUUCAGUGCUUCUCUACCGUGGUCACCUGUCACCGGUACGCAGGCGCUGACUGCUUUUCUGAGAUGAUGAUGGCACUGCUUCACUUUGCACCGCGUGGUCAGCAUAAGACCGUUGAAGGGUCUCGGCACCGCCGAGGUCGAGAGGCUCGUCCUUAUCCUGCAAACUUACAAGAUAAGAAGAUUAUGCCGGCAUACGCUCAGGAUGCCGGCUUAUCGUUAGUUUAACUUUACGAUGCCGGCAUAGGUAGCUAUGUCGGCUUUGCCUUCGUCAACUUGGAUAGGGUUGUGUCGCUAUGACUCUACCCAGGGUCAUCGCCCGACAAACCGCCAGCGGGAUGCCUGCCGUGACCCUUUCCGCCGCUUUCCCUGCUUUCUUCCCACCGCCGCCGCCGCCGCUCCCCUACGCCGAUCAAGUCCAUGAUCUGACCUACUCCGACGAGGAAUACCAGGCGCUAAUGCUCGCGGAGUUCGGCCCUGUCGUGCCGUUGCUCACCAUGGACUUCCAGGCGGCGAUGAAGCUCACCGUCACCGGGGACGAAACCCAGGCGGACCACAGCAGCAAGAAGAGGAAGAACAAAGACGACGAAACCCAGGCGGACCGCAGCAGCAAGAAGAAGAAGAACAACAAGGACGACGAUAUCCAGGCGGACCGCAGCAACAAGAAGAGGAAGAAGAAGAAGGACGACGAAAUCCAGACGCCGCCUCCGUCCAAGCGCAAGCGGACCAAGGAGACGGAGGAGAUCGAAGCCGAAUUCGAGGAGGAGGAGGAGCCGCUGCCGUCGCCGCGAUCCACCAACAAGACGAUCGCGACGCGGCUCCAGAAGUGGCGGGACAUCCGCGCGCCGGAGCCGUGGAGUCGGAGGUCGACGGGGAGACUCACACGGUGCUGCGGUGCGAGUGCGGCGGGCUCCCGCGGGGCUCCCCCGGCUGCGCGCUGCACCAGAACGUGCCCGGGAGGUCGUGGAUGCUGAGGCAGGGCGACAUCCCGGCCGUCGGCGGCACCGACGGCGUCCUCGUGCCCAAGACGUCCACGGAUUGCAGGAGGUGGUGGCCGGGUACAUGCGGUGCCGCCGCAGCGUGUGGAUGCCCAGCCGAUUCUACCUGGAGAAGUCCCAGAAGGAGAGGGCGUAUCAAGAUGCCGAGGACGAGAUGAAGAGACUUCUUGGUGCUUCCGCGCUUCCUGCUAGGCUAGGGUCAGUAGCGCCGAACAGGAUGAUUAAUUCUGCCGGGAUGUAACAAUUGAUGUGAUCUGCAUUUCUACUCUUGAAAAACUUGAAAUGUAUCAUCUAUGUUACUAUGUAGCCGGAGUGGAUCCAGUUGAUGUAUGCAUGUUCUUCGUUGUUGAGAGUUGACACAGUUGAGUGUAAAUUUUUGUUGCGAGAAUUAUUUGUACUUCUGGAAUUCAUUGAUUGUGUAUUCCGUGGAUCUCCCUCUAAUAUUCUGUGAUCUCAAUUCAUACUACCGAUUUCUUUAUGUAUCAUCAGUUUUUCAGUUUGGUGGCCCAAUUCAGAGGACAUCUUAGAGCCGUUUUGUUGCCUUCAGUUCGAUUUUUCAGUGAUUCGUCUUUGUUAAAACAGUUCCCUUUAACUCGUGGCCAGCCAGAUAAUCCUUUUUUUCAGGUCGAGGAGAGACGCGGAGCAGAGGAGCAUACACUGAUUCUUUGCUUCAGUUUUCCUUUUCGGAAUUGCUAGGAAACAGUCGCGUGAGAAUUUGUAAUUCUCGGUCGACAGCGUGGUUCGUCGGAUCAGCGUCGUGAUUCGUGUUGGUACUGUGUACAGACAGCUACGAGCUAAACAGAGGAAUGACCGACAAUGAACAAGAGCACCUGGUUGGUUCAGUGGUUAGUAUAGGCUGUCUUUCUGCCUAGGUCGUGUGUUUGAAGCCCAUUGACCUUUCUUUUUCUUUUUUAUUUUCGACUCCUUUAUUAUUUCUGUUUUCUUAUUUAUUUGCUUUUUUAUCUCUUGAUUUCUCUUUUGCUCUUUUUUUGUUUCCCUUCACUUCCUUUGUUUUCAUUACGGCUUCUAUUCUGCACUAAGCGUAAAAUAGCAAUGCUAGCUUAUUUUUAUCCACAAUUUUUAGAAUCGCGCAUAAAUUUUCACCUAUAAUUUUUGGAUCGCACAAAAAUUUCACCUGCAAUUUUUUAGAAACGUGCAUAAACUUUCACCUGCAAUUUUUUAAAAUCGUGCAUAAACUUUCACCUGUAAUUUUUAAAACCACGCAUAAAAUUUUACCGGUAAUUUUUAAAAUUGUACAUAAAUUUCACUUGCAAUUUUUUAAAAUUUGAUCUUUGUUAUAGUUUCAGCCUAAGGAAAAUGCAUAUAAAUAUCCAUGCAAAUUUUGAAGUUGCACACAAAAAUUUCAGUACAAUUGUAAAACUUUCACCAGCAAUUUUUAAAAAAAUUCAAGUGCAAUUUUUAUAAAUAUACUCAAAAUUUCAUGUUGGUAGACACACGCACAGAGACACGCGCACCUACGCGCGCACGCACACGCACAACAGAGAGACUGAACACACAGCGGACACACACACCAACACAAACACACACGUGCACACACAUCGAAGUUUCUCGGUCGACUUAUGACAUAUACCUAGCCACUCCCUUUCCUUUUUUUAGGGGGUUUGCUUCAGUUCGUUUUUCUCACAGUUCCCUUCAAUUCGUGGCCAGCAAAUCCUGAGUUUCACGUGGGCUGAGCAUAUCUGGGCCGGACCACUCGUAUCUGGCUGAAAAGGCAGAGAAUAACUUUGUAUACUGGGCCUCCAGUUAUCCCGUCUAUCGUGCAGUCCAGUGUGCUCGGGCGGUUGCCAUCCUCUAGUGUCUAGUCCUCUGUAUGAGAUUCUCAAAAAAAAAAAGUCCUCUGUAUGAGGUGGCUCUGCAUUUUGGUUGUGUUUAGUUCUUCCAAAUUGGACGGUAAAAAAAAUUCUUCCAAUUUAUCAAUAAAAAAAGUUCUUCCAAAUUUGUCUUACCCAUAGCAACAAUUGAUAUUUCGGUUUUUAUUUGGUUGGUAGUAAAAAAUUGGGUUCUAAAGGAAUUUUGUCAACCACAUUAAUAUCUAUUCAAAAAAUUUGUCAACCCUACACUGGUUUGUCCAUGGAAAACUAUUAACGUUUAUAAAUUUUAGUACUUUCUGAUAGUCUUGUUUUUUUGAAACAUUUAGCUUUAUUGAUUCAGUAAGCGGGGUAGAAAAUAUCAAAUAAACCGGAAUAAAAGGUUGUUGCUUCAGCGUGUCUAUUGGAGUUGGCAGCAUGUUUGCAGCUGUAGCAGGCAGUAAGGAGGUGCUUUCCCCCGAUGGUAACGGUGUAAUCUCGGUUCUAAGCACCUUAGUUAAUUAGUUGUCCUUCUGUAAAACUAUGACAGUCAUUCUUUGUUUUUCGGGUUGGUUUUUCAGGCUCUGUACAUCUUUCAAUGUACAGUAGAGGUCGGGUGAGAAUUUUUUUUGGGUGUAUCGUUUUGAUUUUCCAAGCUUCAUAAAACUCCCUUUAUCGGAAAAAUGAAUAUGUAUCUGAAUUUGUUCUCGGAAAAAGAUAUAUCUAAAAAGCCAUGUUAAUCCACCAUAGCCGAAUGGAGCCUCCACCACCAACCAAGGAUGUGUUUGGUUGCCGGAUGGGUUGGAGCCGUUCAAUUUUGUGUGUGUUUGGAUCGAGCGGGUCUGAGCAGAGUGCUUCAUGGAUCGAUUUUUAAUUUGAAAAUGUGAACCGUCCAGCUCGCUGAAAUUGGCCGAACCACGCGGACCCUCCCAGAUCGGCAACCAAACACAACCAAAAUGAGCAGUGUCUGUAACUUGAGCAAAGCAAGUUAAACCGAACGAGCGGAUUUUUUUACCUCGUCACAACAAUUACAAUGACACCUAAGGGAAUUAUUGAACAAUUUCAAAUGAAACUCAACACGAACAAAACACAUCUUGAGAAGAAGAAAAGAGACUACACAGACGCACGCACGCGCGCCGUCCACACAGGAAAGACGCACGCACGCGCACAAGCAAAUUAAUCUGACACGCGGCCGGGGGACACGGAAUUGCAUGCAAGCGCGGAGAUAGAUCGACCCAACAACAGCUGAAUUGAUCAGCCGCUGCCGCCGAGCACGGCCUUGAGCUUCUUCACCUGCGCGUCGUCCAAGAAUGUCACCUUCUCCACGACGGCCGACGGCAGGUUGUUGGCGAAGAGCGCGUAGUCGGUGAUCUGCAGGCCCGGGUUAGGCCCGCUGAAGGCGACGAAUGCCACGGCGGUCGAGGCGCCCCCGUUGUACUGGUAGUGGAGCAGGCCCUGGGGGAACACCAUGGCGUCGCCCUUGUAGAGCGUCUUGGUGUAGACGGUGUUGGAGGAGGACGUGAUGAAGCCAGCCAGAAUGGUGCCCUCGACGACGAAGAGCAGCUCGGAGGCGGCCGGGUGGGUGUGCAGCGGCACGACGCCGCCCACGGCGAUGUCGAGCCGGGCCCCGGAGAUGCCCAGCCCGUUCACGCCCGGGAACUGGCCCACGAAGGCCGGGGUCACGGCCGCCUUGAUGAGGUUCGUGGUGUUGCCGGCAGCGGCGAGGCCGUGGUAGUAGAAGUCGCCCGAGCUGACGCUGCCGGCCGCCUUGCACGGGUAGCCUGCCGGGGUGUCGCUGCAGGACAGGUCCGCCACGCAGAAGUCCUGGGUCAGGGCCAGGGCGGAGAAGGGCAGGAUGAGGAAGGAGAGGAGCACCGGGAGCAACAUUGUUCUGGCCAUGGCUACUUGCUUAAUUGGACUGCUGGCUGCUGUGUGCUUCAAGGAUUGCUGCUGCUCGAGGGUAGGUGUGCAGUGCCGUUGGGGUGUUUAUAUAGGAGGAGAGAGCCGAGGGGCGCAGGACGUAGUACGUAGGUAGAGUAGAGAACAAUGUAACGUGAGAGAAUUUUGGCGAGGCGUGCGCCUGUGUUCACGUGCAUCGGUGCAUUGCACACUACUGUCAGGAUUUUCGGCGGAGGUACGAUCUCGAGGAGCCAGUGGACAAGCGUUUAGCUGGGCAUGGUCCAGGAGGUACGAUCUCGAGGAGCCAGUGGACAAGCGUUUACGUCUUUGAUGGAGGAAAGCUCUCGAAUUGCUGCAUUAUUAGGGAAGGGCACCAAGGACACGAUCGAUGAGCUUAUUUUACCACGACAUGCAUGGAUUAAUGGAUAGGCCGAACUCACUGUGUCUUUGUAUCGAACAUGCAGAUGUGCAGGCACUAGAUCUUCACAACAACGGUAACAUUUGGUGGUGUAGCUGUCUAGCUGAUGCAUGCCAGGUUGCAAAUGCACACGGGCAACCAAGCUAUAAUUUGUGUUUUCCUAUGGCGCCAAUGCCUGGUCCCAUGUAAGUCGGUGUCUUUUGCUGCUCAUCUUUCACAUACAUGCAAGUUCUGGAGGCAAACACUGCACCAGUCUUUGUUGCUUUGCAAAUGCAAAAGCAAAAUAUCAGUAGCGCACUAAUUAACGGAAAAGCCUACGUUGCUUAGGCAUAGCCUUUUGCCGGAGGCUUUCUAUCGGGCUUACGGCCAAAAGUCCAAUAGACCGUGGUCGCCGGAAAAGCCUUCGGCAAAGACAGAACCUACGUCAAAGGUUGCGCCAGGCCCACGGCAAAGAACAGCCUAGAGUGUGGAAGGCCCACGGCAAAACGAAGCCUACGGUAAAGAUUAAGAGAAGCCCACGGCAAAGCGUUCCUGCACAUGGGCUCGCCGCACGGACUGACGGCGCGCGAACGGCAAAGAAGGGUCCUCCAGUAGCGGCAUUUUGGGUAGCCACGCAUGUGGAAAUUUAACCGCGCGCUGCGACUUUCUUAAUGGUGGAAAAAUAUAUUCUGCUUCGUUCAAAAGGGUAAAUCUAGAGUCUCACUCUCUCAGGUACAAUAAGAAGUACAGUACGACGAAAUGGAUCCAUCAUGCAUGGUUGAUCCGUAGCGCAGUUGAUUCAACCCAGAGUCUAACUGUCACAAGGUACAAUACGAGUACCUCGAAAUGGCUCGUCAAGGUGGAUCCGUGGAGCAUGUACUUCAUUCAGGAAAAAAAAACUGACUCAGGAAAAGGAAUCUGGGACAGCCCAGGCUCAUCUCUUCCCAACUGAGCCCCCUUCUCGAAUUGUUCCAUGUCAUUUCUCGCACCAAUAUCAAAUCAACUAAGUUCUGUCCACCUCAUCGGGGUUUCGAUCUUGUAUCUUUAAAAAUUUCAUUUUGUUUUCAUCAAGAUUUCGUAAAAUAUAAUUUCCUUUAGUGUUUAGUUUUAUUUCAUUCAGGUUUUAAAAAAAGUCACAGUUUCGUUCUUCUUUUAUUGAAGUUUUGUUCGGAUUUCAUUAAAAUAUCACUGACAUGGAGCAAUUUGAAAAGGGGCCUCACGAGGUAAAUCAGUAGGUAGUUGACUCUACAUUAGUUCUAUUAAGUCGACUUUAAUUUAGUCUUAUUAAAUCCAUUAUGAUAUAUAUUUUCAUAGCAUACUUAUUUGAUAUUCUAGAUGCUGAUACAUUUUUAUAUGAACUUUGAUCAAACGAACUUUGAGUUAUGACAAAGUUAUGACUUCUUAUAUUUAGAAACGUAUAUGUGCAUCGAUUCGAUGCAGAGGCCGCGGAAAUCAUCCCCUUCUCGAAAAAAAAACAAAUUACAAUGACACCUACUAAGGAAUUAUUGACAGUUUCAAAUGAAAUUCAACAUGAACAAAACACAUCUUGACAAGAAAAAGAAAAAGAUCACGGACGUAUGUACGUCGUCCACACGAAAGGCGCGCAAGCAAAUUAAUCUGACACACGACCGGUGACACGGAUUGUAUGCGAGCGGAGAUAGAUCGACCCAACAGCAGCAGAAUUAGCCGCUGCCGCCGAGCACGGCCUUGAGCUUCUUGACCUGCGCGUCGUCCAAGAAGGUGACCGUCUCCACGACGGCCGACGGCAGGUUGUUGGCGAAGAGCGCGUAGUCGGUGAUCUGCAGACCCGGGUUAGGCCCGCUGAAGGCGACGAGGGCCACGGCCGCUGAGGCGCCCCCGUUGUACUGGUAGUGGAGCAGGCCCUGGGGGAACACCAUGAUGUCGCCCUUGUAGAGCGUCUUGGUGUAGACGGUGUUGGAGGAGGACGUGAUGAAGCCCGCCAGCACGGUGCCUUCCACGACGAAGAGCAGCUCGGAGGCGGCCGGGUGGGUGUGCAGCGGCACGACGCCGCCCACGGCGAUGUCGAGCCGGGCCCCGGAGAUGCCCAGCCCGUUCACGCCCGGGAACUGGCCCACGAAAGCCGGAGUCACGGCCGCCUUGAUUAAGUUCGUUGUGUUGCCGGCCGCGGCGAG